CUCGGAAAAAUCCGAGGGAAAAUAUGUUCCUCGGAAUUUUCCGAGGAACAUAUGUUCCUCGGAAUUUUCCGAUAAACAUUCCGAGGAAUGUUUUGUCGAAACUUCCGAGGAUUUGACCAUCGGAAUUCCAUCGGUUUAUUCCGAGGAACCAUCCGACGAAAAUAUGUUUCUCGGAGUUUCCUCGGAAUUUUGUUUCCUCGGAAUUCCGUCGGAAAUUUCCGACGGAAUUCCGAGGAAGUAUGAAUUUCCGAGGAGAUAUUUCCGAGGACUUUUUUCGUCGGUAUGUCGUCGGAAUAGCGUUAUUCCGACGACAUACCGACGAUUUUUUCCCUCAGUAUCCCGAUGUUUUCUUGUAGUGAUAGCGUGAUGUAUCCAUGGUGUUAGCGACAGGAUUCCAGAGGACUAUAAACCUUGUUGUUUUGCUAAAUCCUGGAAUGCAGUUAGUUGUGAAAGUCUUUAUAUAGAAAUAAACGACGUGUAUAUAGAUCAAGAGAUUUAUUUCAUUGAUGAAUAAGUCCCGUAUCUAAAUAAUUAACAAAUAAUAAAAGUCAAACUCUCUCCUCGAUUUUACCAAUCACAUAAAAAUUGUUCCGCAAAAAAAGAUUUUGUAUAAAGCCACUAAUGUUUUUUUCUAUAAAAAUUAACUCAGUUAAUUAGCCUUUGAUAUUUAAGAUGAUAUACACCCCUUUGUUGGAUUGGAUAUAAUGAAAAACAUAUCAAAUUGUUUUAUUUUUGUCUAAAAUAUAACUAAACAUUAAUAUUAACAUAUUUAUACGUAUAAUAAGUUUCAUUAAGAAUUAUUGGAGUACUAUUUCUUAAACUCUUGUCUAUAAUGUAGAUCUUAUUUUGCAUAUUGGUUACAGACUACUGGACUUCAGCGGAGUUAUCUGUAGAGCAUAUAUUUUUGAUGUUUAAGAGAAUAUCCAUUAACUUGACCAAAAAAGAAGAGAAUAUCCAAUUACAAAAUAACCUUACGAGAAAAGUUUUAUUCACUAAAAAUAAUAAUAAUCUAGAUUCGAUAAAAGUUCCUUAAUUAUUUUUUCUUAUAGAACCCGCAGUAAUAUCUAUCUAUCUAUUAAUAUAAGGGCAAAUCUCUAAAAUAGCACAUUUCUAAGUUUAUAUCACAAAAAUAGCACUCAAAAACUAAAAUGACCAAAAUAGCAUUUUAUCUUUUGAAAAAUUUAAAUUUUUUUAUUUUUUAAAAUUUGAAAUCUUAUCCCCAAAACCUCACUUUUCAACUCUAAACCCUAAAACCUAAACUCUAAAUCCUAAACCCUAAAUUCUAAACCCUAAACCCCACCUCUUGAGUGCUAUUUUGUGACUUUUGACCUUUAUUGCUAGUUUGGAAACAAAAAAUUAAUUUAAUGCUAUUUUGGUCUUUUUCUCUUAAUAUAAAGUACAGAGAUUUAUUAUUCUCUUCUCCUUUUGGCACCUAUUAAGGACAGGUUUCCACGUGUCUCCCUCAAACAACAGAAAACUCUGUUUCGUUUGGGGUGCAAAUGGGCUUUUUGAUGAUUACACAUUCAAUGGUUCUUAUCCUUCUUUCUCGAUAUAAUAUGGAUGAUUCCUCUGUUUUACUUGCUGAUUAGAAAUCCGGCUGUCGCUCUUCCACCGUCGAGGUGCGGUACUCAGACCACCAGGAUUUCUAUAUGUCUAUGUGUCCCACUUUCAACUUUGAUGAGUGAUUGUUGAAGUUAUGUCUACGAAAGGACUUUAAUGAGUAUGAGUACCUAGAGAACAAAGUCGGAGAUGAUGGUGAAGAAGCCAAAUCUGAAGUAAAAUAGAGGACUAGAAGCUGCAGGGAUAGGAGACGAGACGGUUGAGAUAGAGAAUAUGUAAAGGGAAAGAGAAAGUGACUCUUAUUUUUCAUUCACUGUGAAUAACUCAUGCUCUUCCUGCUUUUCUUUCCCGCCCCCUUCAUUUAAACAAAAUUCCCUGAAAUGCAGAGAUUCCACUUUGUUAGCUAAGAUUGUUAAGCUGCUGCAUACGCUUGACUGGAUUGUUGAUUGGAUCAUCAAUGUAUGUUUCAAUCAUCUUCCUAGACAUCUUCCAACAUGGUCAACUCUAUUUAUUUAGUUAUGUCUUUACAUGUAGUCUGUAGACCAUAACUCAUUCUAUAUGAAAUAUGAUGAUUUAUUGGAUUGCUAAUGCAACAAAUUAGAAUGGGAAGGGGGGAGGUGGAGGUCCUCUGGCCAUCUUCUAAAAUACAUGGUAUGUGGAUAAGAAGAGUGAAGUAUAGUGGGUGAAUGGUAAUUAAUAGUGAAUGUUGAAACAUGGGCUGAAGAAGAAGAGAUGUAUUUAUAGUGAGAAGAAUCACGAGCUAAAUUACGCUGACUAGGAAGAUGAUUGGAUGAUGGUCGGGGACGUUCCUAGGGAGAUGUUCGUCUAGCGUGAGAAGACUGAAGAUCAGGAAGAUCUCUAGAGCUUCUCACUACUGAUUUAAAAAGAAAAGCAAA